CUACGGGGGGCAGCAGUGGGGAAUAUUGGGCAAUGGGCGAAAGCCUGACCCAGCAACGCCGCGUGAAGGAAGAAGGUUUUCGGAUCGUAAACUUCUAUCCCAGGUGAAGAUAAUGACGGUAGCCUGGAAGGAAGCCCCGGCUAACUACGUGCCAGCAGCCGCGGUAAUACGUAGGGGGCAAGCGUUGUCCGGAAUGAUUGGGCGUAAAGGGCGCGUAGGCGGCCUUCUAAGUCCGAUGUGAAAGUCCUGCUUUUAAGGUGGGAAUUGCAUUGGAAACUGGAGGGCUUGAGUGCAGGAGAGGUAAGUGGAAUUCCCGGUGUAGCGGUGAAAUGCGUAGAGAUCGGGAGGAACACCAGUGGCGAAGGCGACUUACUGGACUGUAACUGACGUUGAGGCGCGAAAGUGUGGGGAGCAAACAGGAUUAGAUACCCCCGUAGUC
rnacentral:rRNA from 1 species